UACGGGGGGAGCAAGCGUUGUUCGGAUUUACUGGGCGUAAAGGGCGCGUAGGCGGCCAGCACAAGUCAGUUGUGAAAUCUCCGAGCUUAACUCGGAAAGGUCAACUGAUACUGUGCGGCUAGAGUGCGGAAGGGGCAACUGGAAUUCUUGGUGUAGCGGUGAAAUGCGUAGAUAUCAGGAGGAACACCGAUAGCGAAGGCAGCUCGCUGGGACGGUACUGACGCUGAGGCGCGAAAGCGUGGGGAGCGAACAGG
rnacentral:rRNA from 1 species